rnacentral:lncRNA from 1 species
CCUCCUUCCCCCUCUCCCCCUCCCCAGGUCGCUUCCAGCAGGUCCAAGCUCUGGCCGCCACGGCCGACGCGUUCUUCUGCCUCUACUCCUACGUCUCCAAGACCCCCGUGCAGCGCAUCUCCCCCUCGCGCCUCGCCUGGGCCGACCCCGACGUCCCCGAUAUCCGCGUCUCCCCCGCCCAGCCUGCCGUCCUCUCGCCCGGGGACCGCCUGAAGAAGGCCGUGGCCAAAAUGUGCCUGUACACGGUCCCCCGCGCCGGGGACAGCCCGCGGGGGGCCGGCGCCCUGGGCAGGGUGGUGCAGGAGGUGCUGGAGCGGGCCAGGGAGGAGAGGUUUCGCUUCGACCCCCCCGAUGGCGAGGGUGGGGAAAGGGACAUUGGUGGGGUGCCCCUGGGGACUCACGGAGCCCCGGGGUCUCCGCCGGCACCCCUGUGGCCGGAGCGGGGUGUCCCCAAGUGUCACCGGCAGCCGGGGCUGUCCCCAAGGCUGGCCCCAGAGGGGACGGACACUGCCGAGGAGCGUCCCCGUUGCCUGAGCCCUUCGGCAGGGGGUCUGCUGUGGGCUGGGGGUGCUCCGUGCUCCGUGGGGACAGGACAGGGGGGAGCAGAGGACAGGCAGCUGUGGGCGGACGUCGCCUCAUCCCCAGCUCCGUGCGCCGCGGCCACCCAUGGCGGGUGGGUGUGCGCCACCCCCGAGCAGCCGGGAGCUGAGGGGGACUCCGGUUUUGGCUCCAGCCCCUGGGGGACCUCCCCCGGGAGGAAGGAAGGGGCCCAGCCCCCGGGCGAGCCCCUGGACUCCUGCGGGGCAUCGUCCCCUUGGUCCCACCAGCCAAGAGAUGGAGGCCAAAGGGCCCGGCGGAGCAGGGGACGGCACCGGGAGGGUGACCCAAGGGACACCAGAUGGUGGCAGGAGGAUGCACCGGGGCUGCAGCCCCCCGGGAAGGCUCCGGCGGUGGGGGGGCUCUCCCCCCAUCAUCGCAGCUGGGCAGAGACGCGCUGCAGGGAGGCCCCGGACUCCUUCGAGAUGGAAGAGGUGCCGAGCGCCGGCGAGGACGACGGCGAUGCCCACGAGGAAGCCGGCUGCUUCUUCCCUCCCUCCCUGCGGGUCCGGAGAAGCUUGAUGCUGCAGGGGUGCAGCGGCCACUCCGACAGCAGCGGCUUCGUGGAGGAGCCGCUGCCCGAGCAGACGCCGUGAGACCCCCGAGGGACCCCCCCCCUGCUCACCCCCACCGUGGUGCCAGCGCCGGCCGGGAGCCGCCGACGGAUGCACGAGGGAUUUUGCACCCCCGGGUUUUGGAUCCCGGAGCCCGUCCUCAGCCGAGGGCUGAGCACCGCGUGGACACGUCUGGGUGUGAGCGUGCGUGCACGUGUGUGUGUGUGUGUGUGUGUGUGCACCCCGUGGUUGUGCUGCACCAGGAACCUCUCGACUCAGGACUUUCACCCCCCAACAGCACCAGCAUCCCCCCGAACCUUGCCCUGUUUUCACUGGGGCUUCACUAGCACUUUGGAAACGCUCUGCUCCCCGGGCGCGUGUAACACUAGGACGGGGGUUUGCCGGGGCAGAGCCCACAGCACACUGGAAAUAAAGUUCCCCAAGGGAUCGGGCUGUGGCCUUGC